UCAAACGGUGAAAAAGAUGUCGGUGAAAAUGUUUUCUGCAUUUAUUUUCAAACAUAUUUAAUGUAUUUGGAAGCAAAACAAUUUCAGCUUAGUGCCACUUUCGGUUUUGUUAUUUGUCCCCUGCAAUUGGCUGGUGACCAGUUCAUAAGAAGAUAGCUGGGAUGGGCCCCAGCAUGUCUGCGACCCUUGUGUGGAUAAGCGCUUCAGAAAAUCUUUGAAUAAAUGCUAUCCAUUAGUUUGUCCAUGCUGUGUGUUUGCAAGCAAAGUGAAAUUCCCUAAGGGAAAGCUAUUUGGUUGUUGAAAAAACAUCUUUUUUCUUUAAUGUUUAGUUUGAGGGUAAACUUCAAUCAGGAGUAGCAGUAAACAUUUGGGAAAGCUAUUUGGUUGUUGAAAAAACAUCUUUUUUCUUUAAUGUUUAGUUUGAGGGUAAACUUCAAUCAGGAGUAGCAGUAAACAUUUCAAAGCCCCUUCUUUGAGGAAUUGUGCACUAGCUGCCAAACUAGUUCUUGUAAAGUGAGUUGAAUUUCCUGCCACCAGACAUUUGCUCUCAAAUCAAAGCGAAAUUUCGGCCGAAAGACGACUCAUAUCUUGAAAAACUCAAGGCGCCACUGUAUGUUGCCAAACAUUUGCCAUGUGGUAACGUGUGUAGUGACUCAUUAGAUCUGAGCGAGAGAUGAAGAUGGACUUUGCAUACUCCACGGCGACUCCCUCAGUAUAUGACAGUGUCGCAGGGCUUUCAUGAGAGCCGUCGCUUGUUCCUCACAACGCAACGUCUCAGCAGACAACGCAGGCUUUGUCUGCAUGGAGAAAAAGAGGGCAGACUGGAAGGGAGCGGGAGAAAGAAGCCGCCCCCGUACUGUACAAAAGGCAAAAAUAAUGGUGGAAGACAGGAGCGCUGAAGCAGAGCAAGGCCAAGCGUUCCAGUGUAGGCGGCAGGCAUGGGAAGCCCACCAGAGGUCCGAAACAGUAAUCAGCCUUAUCAUGGUGAAAUAACACAGUGCAAAGUGGACGAGGGUGAACUUACUCCCUCUGACCUUCAAAGUGGUCACACUCGGUUGCCAGUAAACGUCUCACCUUCCAGUCUGCAUUUCACAAGAUGGGAGGAUUUUCAUCCAAUUAAGUGUGUUACUUUAUCCACCUGAAAAUGGAGGUACGCUGAAUAAAAUAGUCAAAACAGUCAUUCCUAACUGGUAAAUCCCAUAUUUUGUCCACAACUAGCUGGUAUCACUUAGAUAGCACAUACAAGAACAAAAAGAAAAAAGAACCUAAGCCCUGUCUGAAGCCGGCUGUGUGUUAAUGUGUGCAGUUUCAUGUGCACAACGGAAGGAACUAAAGCAGCAGAGCAGAAGGCGUGGCAUGAUGAACACAGAGGUCGUGAAGUGUGUGUCCUUAUGGUACUGUACAAAUACAUAGCUUUGAGUUACUGUUAAACAUGGUACAGUUGAUCUUGAGCGACAAUGACACAAUACUGCACGUUCACUGAACACAGGUGGUUAUGUAACUGUAAAUAAACAGUAACAUACCAUACAUAAUAUAACUUCAAAAGUGGUUCUGCUCAAAUAUCAAGUGUACUUUUUCUCCCAUUGGUUCAUUAUCAACAAAUUUGCAGAUAAACUGGCCUCAACAUUACUAACUUCUGCACCACACAAUACAAAAUUGAUCAGUUUUGAUUACUAGAAUGAACAAUACAGUAUGUCCAUAAUUGGGGUUGUAGCGAUGGUUCUGCAAUCAUCAUAAGUGUACUAUAAAUAGCAAACGCAAAUAUUCAUACUGAUAAUUUAUAGAAAAGCAGUCAAUGUAAAAAAAACGUUUUGUUUUGCUUUUUUGCUUAUGCCUAUAUUCAAAGUUGUGAUUUAUAGAUAGACAAGGUCAAUGUUGUGAUAGUUUUACACUGGUAAAAUAAAAUCAUUUCAUUUUGAAACACAGCAGAGUAAUGAGUCCACGGUCAUGUGUGGGAUGAACAUCUCAUUUGCAUCGCCCACUGUGGAAUUUCUUAUUCACAGCAUUGAUUCACUUUUGAACAAAGACCGAUGAUUAAAAUA